rnacentral:rRNA from 1 species
UACAGAGGGGGCAAGCGUUAUUCGGAAUUAUUGGGCGUAAAGGGCGCGUAGGCGGCUUGGCAAGUGGAAGGUGAAAUCCCUCGGCUUAACCGAGGAGCUGCCCUCCAAACUGCUUCGCUUGAGACCGGGAGAGGUGAGUGGAAUUCCCAGUGUAGCGGUGAAAUGCGUAGAUAUUGGGAGGAACACCAGUGGCGAAGGCGGCUCACUGGACCGGUACUGACGCUGAUGCGCGAAAGCGUGGGGAGCAAACGGG